AACGCGAAGAACCUUACCAGCCCUUGACAUCCCGGUCGCGGGAACGAGAGAUCGAUCCCUUCAGUUCGGCUGGACCGGAGACAGGUGCUGCAUGGCUGUCGUCAGCUCGUGUCGUGAGAUGUUGGGUUAAGUCCCGCAACGAGCGCAACCCUCGCCCUUAGUUGCCAUCAUUCAGUUGGGCUCUCUAAGGGGACUGCCGGUGAUAAGCCGCGAGGAAGGUGGGGAUGACGUCAAGUCCUCAUGGCCCUUACGGGCUGGGCUACACACGUGCUACAAUGGCGGUGACAAUGGGACGCAAUGGGGCAACCCUGCGCAAAUCUCAAAAAGCCGUCUCAGUUCGGAUUGCACUCUGCAACUCGAGUGCAUGAAGUUGGAAUCGCUAGUAAUCGCAGAUCAGCACGCUGCGGUGAAUACGUUCCCGGGCCUUGUA
rnacentral:rRNA from 1 species